rnacentral:rRNA from 1 species
AUUGAACACUGGCGGCAGGCUUAACACAUGCAAGUCGAGCGGAGAUGAGGUGCUUGCACCUUAUCUUAGCGGCGGACGGGUGAGUAAUGCUUAGGAAUCUGCCUAUUAGUGGGGGACAACAUUCCGAAAGGAAUGCUAAUACCGCAUACGCCCUAUGGGGGAAAGCAGGGGAUCUUCGGACCUUGCGCUAAUAGAUGAGCCUAAGUCGGCUUAGCUAGUUGGUGGGGUAAAGGCCUACCAAGGCGACGAUCUGUAGCGGGUCUGAGAGGAUGAUCCGCCACACUGGGACUGAGACACGGCCCAGACUCCUACGGGAGGCAGCAGUGGGGAAUAUUGGACAAUGGGCGGAAGCCUGAUCCAGCCAUGCCGCGUGUGUGAAGAAGGCCUUUUGGUUGUAAAGCACUUUAAGCGAGGAGGAGGCUACCUGGAUUAAUACUCUAGGAUAGUGGACGUUACUCGCAGAAUAAGCACCGGCUAACUCUGUGCCAGCAGCCGCAGUAA